rnacentral:rRNA from 1 species
AUCUGCCUACGGGGGGCAGCAGUGAGGAAUAUUGGUCAAUGGGCGAGAGCCUGAACCAGCCAAGUCGCGUGAGGGAGUACUGCCCUAUGGGUUGUAAACCUCUUUUGUCGGGGAGCAAAAGACGCCACGUGUGGCGUUCCGAGAGUACCCGAAGAAAAAGCAUCGGCUAACUCCGUGCCAGCAGCCGCGGUAAUACGGAGGAUGCGAGCGUUAUCCGGAUUUAUUGGGUUUAAAGGGUGCGCAGGCGGAAGAUCAAGUCAGCGGUAAAAUUGAGAGGCUCAACCUCUUCGAGCCGUUGAAACUGG